rnacentral:lncRNA from 1 species
UUGGUUUGAUGUUGUGGUUGAGUGCGGUGAUCGGUGGCUGGGUGUGCGGUGUUGUGUGAUGGUUGAUCUGGUAGGUGCGUAGGUAGCAAUGGUGUUGGAAUGGUGGCUGACAGUGGGGGUCGUGGCAGUGGUGAUGAUGAGAUGGUGGUGGUUGCAGGUCAUGGUGGCGACGGCAGCAAGGUGGAGGUGUUGUUGGCGUUCAGAGAAUUGAUGAUGAUGUUGGUGGUGGUCGUGGUUGCAGGUCAUGGUGGUCGUGGCAGUGGUGAUGAUGUUGGUGGUGCUGGCUACCGCAGCCGGCGAUGUUGGCUGUGCUGAUAAUUGUGAUUGUGACCGUGACUCCUAAUUGUGACUUGACAUUGAAUAUGUGACCGUGACUCCCAAUUGAUUAAAUUGUGAC